rnacentral:lncRNA from 10 species
GAGAGGGACCAAAUCUCUGUCGUGAGUGGGUAUCUGCAUCAUUGCAGGAGGGAAUGUGAUGUCCCAGCUUGGCUCACACCCUCUGUGGGUUUAGGCAGGGUUCCUGCUGGAUCCCUCAACUGUGGCCAGAGAGGGAGGGCUCUGUUUCACCACAGGGCACCGGAAGAGGACAGGUGUGUGGGAAGACCAGCCUCCCCACUACAGCUUCCUGCCUCACAGGAGCACACCUGUGACAACCAGGAACCUGCCUUGACCCUUCAGUAUCACUCAAAGCUUACAGUGCACAUUCAGGUUUACUCUUCAUGUUGCACGUUCUGAGUCUUGACAAAAGUUUAAUGGCAAUGGGAUAUUAUUCACUGCUAACGGGAGAUGAUCUAUCAAGCCACAAAAAAAUACAUGGAGGAAACUUAAAUACAUAUUGCUAAGAGAAGAAGCCAAUCCAAAAAGGCUACAUACUGUUCGAUUCCAAUUAUAUGACGUUCUGGAAACGGUGAAACUAUGGGAACAGUAGAAAAAUCAGUGGUUGCCAUGAACCAAGGGG